CCUACGGGUGGCAGCAGUGGGGAAUAUUGCACAAUGGGCGCAAGCCUGAUGCAGCCAUGCCGCGUGUGUGAAGAAGGCCUUCGGGUUGUAAAGCACUUUCAGCGGGGAGGAAGGCGUUAAGGUUAAUAACCUUGUCGAUUGACGUUACCCGCAGAAGAAGCAUCGGCUAACUCCGCGCCAGCAGCCGCGGUAAUACGGAGGGUGCAAGCGUUAAUCGGAAUUACUGGGCGUAAAGCGCACGCAGGCGGUCUGUCAAGUCGGAUGUGUAAUCCCCGGGCUCAACCUGGGAACUGCAUUCGAAACUGGCAGGCUAGAGUCUUGUAGAGGGGGGUAGAAUUCCAGGUGUAGCGGUGAAAUGCGUAGAGAUCUGGAGGAAUACCGGUGGCGAAGGCGGCCCCCUGGACAAAGACUGACGCUCAGGUGCGAAAGCGUGGGGAGCAAACAGGAUUAGAUACCCGGGUAGUC
rnacentral:rRNA from 1 species